UAAUAAUAAAAAUCCUAACAAUUACAAUAGAGUUUCAGCACUGCGUGCUUGAACCCCUAAUAAUAAUAAAAAUCCUAACAAUUACAAUAGGGUUUCAGCACUGCGUGCUUGAACCCCUAAUUAAAGCUGCAAGCAGCAUUUACCGGGGUUCAAGCACAUUAAGGCCUCUGAGGUGGUCUGAGCCAACCUGGAUGUAUGGAAGACAGUUAAACACAUCCAAAAUGGAGAACAGGCUGACAGACAGACACACACUGAAAGUAAAUGAUUAGACUAAUAUAUUAAUACUCUAUAAGCAUAUGCACACACACACACAUACACACAGACACACAUAUACAUGCACACACAUUCUGUUGCAGAUAUAGGUAUUUGAAAUAAGUGAUAGGUGACAAUAAACUUAUUGCAAGUCUUCUCUUUUUAAGAGUUUGGAUGUCAUUUUCAGGUUAAACUGUAAUCAUAAUGUGGCAAAGUUGCAAAAACUGAUAUAUAUGUAUAAACAAAAUGGAAAACAUUGACUCAAUGAGAUUUAAAAUGUUAUAACAGUUAAUUUAUUAAUGUUUUGGCAUGAAUUCAUGAAACCUUUGAACACUGAAUGAGCCCAUUAUUGGUCUUCCGCUGCCAUCUAGUGGUUAUAAAUUGCAUUUACUCAAACAACAAUGUGUUUUUAAACAUAACUGUUAUAGUGUUAUUUUUUUUUGCCCAAUCUCUCUUA